CCCUUAGAUGUUCUGGGCCGCACGCGCGCUACACUGAAUGGAUCAACGUGUUUUCCCUUCCCGAGAGGGACGGGUAACCCGCUGAACCCCAUUCGUGGUAGGGAUCGGAGCUUGCAAUUGUUCUCCGUGAACCAGGAAUUCCCAGUAAACGCAAGUCAUCAACUUGCAUUGAUUACGUCCCUGCCCUUUGUACACACCGCCCGUCGCACCUACCGAUUGAAUGGUCCGGUGAAGCCUCCGGAUUGGCGCGCACCUCGGUGCCGCCGAGAAGUUGGCUAAACCUUACCAUUUAGAGGAAGGUGAAGUCGUAACA
rnacentral:rRNA from 1 species